AUGGGCGGCGGCGGCGGCGGCGGCGCGGAGGAGGAGGAGCUGACGGCGCAGGAGACAGCGCUCUACGACCGCCAGAUCCGCGUCUGGGGCGUCGAUGCCCAGAAGAGGCUAAGUAAGGCGCAUGUGCUUGUGUGCGGCGUGAACGGUACUACUAUUGAGUUCUGCAAGAAUAUUGUUCUAGCAGGAGUUGGCAGUUUAUCCUUGAUGGACGAUCACAUAGUCACAGAGGAUGAUCUCAAUUCAAACUUCCUAAUUCCUCAUGAUGAGAGUGUGUAUGGUGGUAAAUCACGGGCAGAGGUUUGCUGCGAGUCCUUAAAAGAUUUCAAUCCAAUGGUCCGAGUUGCUGUUGCAAAAGGUGACCCAUCACUUAUUGAUGGAACAUUCAUUGACAGGUUCGACAUUAUUGUACUCAGCCGCGCAUCUCUUAAAACAAAGUUGUUUAUUAAUGACAACUGCCGGAAAAGAAGCAAGCAUAUUGCCUUCUACUCUGUAGACUGCAAGGAUUCUUGUGGUGAAAUAUUUGUUGAUCUGCAGAACCAUAGCUAUCUUCAGAAGAAGCCUGGAGGAGAACCUGAACAGCAGGAGUUGAAAUAUCCUAGUCUGCAGGAAGCUAUUUCUGUGCCCUGGAAGGAUCUGUCCAAAAAAACAACUAAAUUGUACUACGCCAUGAGAGUCUUGGAAAGUUAUGAAUCAUCUGAAGGGCGCGACCCCGGUGAGACAUCACUUUCUGAUCUACCUGCAGUUUUGGCUCUGAGGAAGGAUAUGUGUGAUAGAAUGUCUUUGGAUGAGUCUCGAAUUCCUACGUCUCUCCUGGAACGGCUUCUAGCAGCUGGGAAAAAGGAACAUCCUCCUGUAUGUGCAAUCCUUGGUGGCAUUCUUGGUCAGGAAGUGAUUAAGUCAAUAUCUUGUAAAGGCGAUCCGAUCAAGAAUUUCUUUUACUACGACGCCGCUGAUGGUAAAGGGGCCAUGGAGGACACCCCCCCAACUCCUGAAGAUUGA
rnacentral:rRNA from 1 species